rnacentral:pre_miRNA from 1 species
AAAAAGACAAACCCUGGAUUUUCCGUGUCCAACUUUGACUGUCCGUCUUAUAUGAAAUCUUUUUAUAAUUCGUAUUUUCAUUGUUGUUAGAUGAUAAAACAUGAUUAAUAUUUUAUGCGUGACUUGUCUUUUUAAUUUUUUUCAUAAUUUUUUCAAAUAAGACGGACGGUUAAACGUUGGACACGAAAACC